rnacentral:lncRNA from 1 species
CGAUCCUUCUUUAGAAGGCGAUUUUCCAGAAUGUGAAGCAUGGAGAGUGCUAAAAAUGGGGCUUUUGUGCACACAGGCUUCAGUUUCUUUAAGACCGUCCAUGUCUGAGGUUGUCCAAAUGCUUACUGAUUUCGACUGUCAAAUUCCCGAACCGAAUCAACCACCAUUUUUGAAAGCCAGCUUGCUUUCUGCAACCACUACUCGGUCAUCCUACAGCAUAAGCGGUUUGGCAUCAAGUGCACAGACAAAAUUUGAAGCAUUUUACACCACCACAGAAACCUCUACUCAGAGUUCAGAUGCACAUCCCAGAAGUAAAGAACAGUCCCACCCCCACCCCCACCCCCAUCCCCAUCCCCACCCCCAAACCAAAAAAAUAAAAAAUAAAAAAUGUGAACAAUGAUGUAAAUUUUGGUUUCCUUUUUUAUGCAAGUCAACUUUCCUAUAUUCAUGAUGACAGAUGAACCUCAUAAAAAUAGCUAGUUAUUGAUUCUGAAAGAAAUAUUUUUGGAAUGAGAUUGUGUUCUUACUCCCUUGCACAAUUCCAUUCUAAUCAAAAGACUGCAUGCCCCUCCUGCGAAAUAGGUUGCCGAGCGUCUCAUAUUUGCUUCCAAAGUGUUAGUCGUGUAGGGCGACAGCGCAGCGUACAUUACUUAAAAUUUUCUUAAUGCGGACCAUGGACACGUUAAUAAUGCACAAUUAAAACCAAAAUAUUGCCAUGAUAUAUAUUUGCUUGUAGGGUUGUUAUACCCCUAAUAUAAAUUUUGGGGAAAUUUUCAACUGCGGUUUCAAAUCUGUGCUUUUAGUAAAUUUUACUUCAAUCUUUAGUUUGUGCCAUCAUAGGUCCCAAACCUUUGAGAUAUUCGCAAAUGCAAUUCAAAAUGAUGGAAAACGUUGAUUCCACCGCCAGUUGACCUCAAAAUUUUUUAAAAUGCAAAUUUUGAUCAAUUUAAAUUGGGACAUUUUUGUCCAAUUCUAUUUCCCGCUUGUUCAUUGUACUAAACGGUUCAUUUCCCUCCUUUUAAAGGUAUUCCAUAUUCUUCUCUUUCUUCCAUUUAUCUUAGAUUAUUUUCAGCAUGAAUAUGGACAGUGAUGUCUAUAGAUGCAGUGAUCCUAUGUAGAUGAAAACCUCAUGAACAAACUUGAACCCAAGAAGAAAAUUUCUCACUUGCCCAUGGCUUCUGGAUGUUGAUGGAUAUAAUUAGGGUGGGGCAAAAUUCUCGAAUCGAAUCGACAAAAUCGGACUCAAAUCGAGCCCAACUGAGCCGAGUUGUUCUUCUCAAGUUAAAUAUUUGAACGGGAAUCUGAAUCGAAAAUCGAUGGAUUUGGUUCAAUUUUCAGUUCUAGAUGAAGAAUCGAAUAAUUGAAUCUCCGUAAUUUCUAAUUUAUUUAUUUUAAAUAAGUCAAAUUAUUUUAUUUUUUUCUAAAUGAAUUUGCUAACUAGUUAAUUUAGCUUAAAUCCAAAAAUAUGAUUUUUCAUAUUUCUAAUUUUUAGUCCAAAUCCAACUUAAUCAAUUGACCUAAAUUUUACGCAAAUAUGUUAUUCAAUGUAGUGCCGAUUCUACUGUUUUUUAAAAAAUAGAAUUGAAACUCGACAGCACCCUCUUAAUUAUUGUGAGCUCACUAUCUUUCUCUUUCAAUAAUUUUAACAAUCAAAUCUAUGAAGACCCAGCAAAGAUUUUUAAAAGCUAAGAUUGAACAUGUGAUUAGUUGAAUUAAUGUAGCUUCGUAAAUACUAAAAAAAAAUUAAUUAUAAUACGAAAUCUAUGAAUCGAAUGAAACCCAACCAAAUCAAAUUGAACCGAAUGGAAUCGAACCCAAGCGGUUCCAUAAUUAAAUUUAGACCCGACAAUUUCAUUUACUAAAUACUCGAAAAUUUUGGGCCCAAUUCCGUUCUUGUUAGAAUCCAACCGAAUCGGAUCACGGCCAGCCUUAGAAAUAACUUCUUUAACUAGUAUGACCCUCCAAUGUGCGAUAGAUCGAAGGAGAUAAUCCCUGAAUUUCUACGUGUUAGAAGAGAGGUAGAAGCUAAAUUAAACACCCUACGUGCAAGAAGUCGUGGUUCAUGGAGACCUGGAUAUUAUGAUUUGAAUGUGAAAUUUUUGUGAAAAGGGCAUGUGCAUAGAUCUAUGUUAAGCUUGUAUUUUAGAAGAUGGGUUUAUGAGUUAGAAAUCGAGUGUUGUCUAUGGUCUUGUAACUUAUUUUCCAUUAAAUAAGAUAUAUUAUCAUUCAACAAUGUUGCCCUAAUUCUAAUUUCUCACAGUUUCCUCCUCCCCCUAGGAGCAAAUGCUUCAAAACGAAAGAAAAAAAUCUAUUCGAAAACUUGUUGUAGAUGAUGCAUUACAAGUCUCCAACAUUUUCAAUUAAACAUAGAUAAAUACCUAAACUUUUUACUAUGUUGAAGCGUAGGUCCCAAAGCUUCGUAUAUGAUUGCAUAGCAAGUCCCAAACCUUUUAAAUGAGUUGCAUAAUAGGUCCCAAACAUUUUAAGGAGUUGAAGCUUAUGUCCCAAUCCUUGAGUCAGAAUAUCCAUUUGGCUGUUUAGGUACCAAUUCCAAAUCCGUUUUACUUUCAAAACACGCAUAACACAAUGAUCCAACAACAAUCACCAAUUAAUGGCAGGAAGAAUAAUUUUUUCAUUGGAAUAUUUACAUUUUACCUCAUAAUUCAUUUGUUCAUCAUACAAAAGCAAUUCCAAUUUUGUUCUACUAAAUGUAGUCAAACAAAAAACUUCAUCAUACAAAAAGUUUGUUCAAAAGGAUCAAUAUACAAAAAGCUAUGUUCUUUUUUGUCCAUCUUUCUUCUUCUUUGCUUGUGGAUCAUUGGGAGUAGAAGUCUUUCUCAUAUCUUUGCCUUGUGUUGAAGUUGGCACUGUAUCCUGCUGUGUAGAGGCCUUUUUCUUUCCCUUGUCUUGUGAUUGAGAUGGCUGUGUAUCUAGUUGUGUAUAUGCUUCAAAACAUAUUCUCUUAUUAUGGCCUAUCCCACCACAUUUUUACAUGUCAUUUUCAUUCUAGUCCUUGCCAUUUUGGUGUCUACAUGUGGCUCUACUUGCGACCUUUUUCUCAACUUCUUUGAUUUGCUUGCCUAUUCUUUUUUAUAGGUUGAUUCAGAGGAUAUUUCCCCAGCUUUGGCCACAACUCAGGACCUGACAUUGGUUGGACGACUGGGUUGUGGAACCUCAGGUAAGCUUCUUUGUUUUAGCAUAAAUCUACAUAAUAAUAUAUGUCAAUGUUUCUCGAUAACGUACUAGACAUUGCAUGCACACAAGGUGUUCUAGUAAGUUGUCAUUUUCUAUAUGCACAUUCAUGCUUCAUCAAGUUCACUCUCUAUCUCCUUCUAUCCCGAUCACUUAUCUCAAACUUUUUACUUCCAGCAUAGUUAGUGACACGACUCGUUCAGAAUUAUCCUAGUGGAUUCGACACGAAUUGUGCGUUAAUGGUAGCUACCAUUUAAAUGCCGGACCCUCCACCAAUACAAUCUUGACUUACUGACUGUAACGAAUUUUUAAAAGAAUUUUGACAGAGUUUCCUCUGAAAUAUGGACUAAAAUCAUUCGUACAAAAAUCAAUUUUCUCAAAUCUGUACAUAUAAUUUAAAAUAGGGUACAUUAGCCCUUCAAACACAAACUAUUCAAAAUAAAGUGCACAAGAAUGAUAAAAUAGGUUCCAAUGUUGCUCAAAUCAGUUACUAUCUGAUAAGAAAAAGUGUGACAAAAUAUAUGAGCUUGUAACUCGAUGAGUGAAUAUUUCACAAAUAUGUAUAUAUUUUCCAUUUAUGCCAACUUUCUUAAAACUGGUAUAUAAUAAAAAUAUCAUCUUAUAAUACCAUAAGCUAAAAUCUUUAUUCUUUAAACUAAAUAAAUUAAGGUCUGCAAUCUGAAAUAUGAUAAACUGUAUAUUAUUGAAAAUCACACCCAAAAGGUACUUGAAAUAACCAAACUCAUGUACCAAUUAAUCUCGAUAUACAUGAAAAGAUUAUUAAAUUUUGAAAUUUUGAAAUUCAAUAAUUUUGAUCAUACGCACGCAGAGUUACCUAAAGACUAUAAUCUAGUCAUACACUAUGAAAAUACAUUCACAAUAGUGCAAAGCGAGUAAAAUAAUCAUAACUGAUCAUACAUUAUAAAAACACAUUCACACUAGUAUAGAGUGGGUAAAAUAAUCAUAUGGGGUCAUACACUACGGAAACACAUUCACACAAGAGCAUAUUAGAGCAAAAUUACAUGGGUACUUUAUGAUGGUUUUAAAAAUAACUUUAGAUAUACUAAAAUAUUUAAUACUCAUAUAACAUGCUAAUAAAAUGAUUUAACUAAACUAUAUUUAACUUUAAAAAUAAUUGAUUGUAAAAUUCAUUUUAUUCUAAAAAUCAUGCUAUCAACUUAACUUAUAAAAUAAGUAACUUUAAAUUUAAUUAAUAUUUAUUUAUGAAAAAUAAAUUUUUUCCACUCACAUAAUACAAGCUCCCGCUUAGAAUGGUUAGUAGGUUUUUUUAAUCUCCUUGUCACCAUUUGAAAUAUGAUACAAGAUAACCAAUUUAACCACUAUAAAAUCAAAAAACCUUUUAUCUCUAGUGAUAUAAUACUUAAACUAAAUUUCUCGAUACUUGAAUAAAAUUUUCAAAUCUUCCUUUAAUUAUUCGGAGCAAAUUCUACUUUCUAGUCACUUUACUAAUAACUAAUUUAUCAAAAUAAGCUUCAUCCAAAGCAUAAAAAUAAUUAUCAUUCGAUCUACUGAAAACUUACACAAACAACUCAACUAACCUAACUUUCGAUUUGCUCCAUAAACUCAUGCUUUAGCUUGAAUAUUUCAUCAUCACAAUCAUUUCCACUAACAAUACUUAAUCAAUAAUCCCAAAUAAGAAUUUUAGGAUUUGCUCAAUAGAUAUUACUUACCUUGAUAUAAAUAUCAUUCACCACUCAAAAAGAUUGGCUUGAAAUCAUGCACUUUCCUUCAUUCUGAAAUUUAAUCCAACAACUUAGAACCCUAGAAAAUUUAACAUCAUAUACACCAUAAAAUAUCUACUUCUUUAUCUCUUUAACGAUUGAAAUAAUUGAACCCAAGUUUGAAUAAAUCAACACUUCCUUCUUUUCUUUCUCUUUUUCUUCCUUUCUUUCCCGAUUUUUCUUUCUUUCUCUCUGCCCCUUUUUGCCCUCGGUUUCUAUGUGUGUGUAUCAAAUUAAAAAUGAAAACAAUGGUUAAACAAAAGAUUAAGCAAAAAUUCUAAUUCUUCCACUUAUUGGGGUCCAAGUUUGUAGUGAAGACAUAUAAGAUUGCAGUGAGCCACGCCCCUACAUAACUUCCUGAAGUAUUUCCCAUACAAUUAAUUCCAUUCAUUUCAUUUCAAUUCACAUAUCCUUUAACUUGCAGAUAGAGAUGGCAAAAAGGCUCAAGGGCUCGAGCCGCUCGUGGCUCGACCAGCAAAAAGCUCGAGCCGGCUCGGCUCGAGGCUUGAUCAACCGAGCCUAGGCUUGGGCGAGCCUGCGCUGGCCCAUGUGGCUUGUGGGCCGGCUAAAAAAGAGAGAGAAAAGAGAAGUAAAGUAGCGUAAAAUGCAGCUACCAGCUCGCCUUCUGAAAAAAAAAAGUAGAAAAAGGAAAAAAGAAAAAAACCGAGUCGGCUCAGCCCAUCUUCAAAAAGCUCGAGUCGAGCACGAGUCUUGAUUUUUGGCUCGCGAGCCGGUUUGGCUCAACCCAUUGUCAUCCCUACUUGAAGAUUUGGAAGCAUUUUAGAAGAGAUACAGUGACUCAAAUAAUAGAUUCAAGCAUAGGAAAUGAAAAUGCUGAUGAAGUCCUAAGAGUGGUUCAGAUUGCUUUGCUGUGUACCCAAGAGUUGCCAGAUAUGCGUCCCACAAUGAUCCAAGUACUUGAUCUGUUAACACGAAAGGAUUUAGUAUUGCCAAUUCCAUCAAAACCCCCCUUCACAGAGGAAUUCUUGAUCGAUAUAUCCGUAUUGGCUGCCUCUCAAUCACAUUACUCUUCUGCAUCAGUGGAUUCUUGUAUAUUCUAUGACACGUAGAGUCGCCUCAUUUCGUGGAAAUUUUUUCCUUCAAGAUCACAAGACACAAAAUAAGUAUUGCUCAUGUAAGGCAAGGUGAGUAUUGCUUUCGCUAACUUGGCUUGAUUAUCACACAUAUUCAAUACAUAUUCAAUACCUAUUAUGUGUGAUAAUCAGGCCACGUUAAUUUAAAUUUUUCUUUCUCCUAUUUUUAAUUACAUAAUCUUCAAUAAAAUAAUAUUUUCGUAAAUUGUAAACUUCUCAUUUUUUUAUAAUCAUCAAUUUUUUAAAAAGAAAAAUACUAUUCCUCCAUUAAAAAUCCAAAUAAUGAGGGCCAAACGGGUCAAAAGUGUUGCAUGUGUAUUUGUCAUUGUUGAAAAUGGCAUGGUAUUUAUGAUUUCGAGGUUAAAUUCUUGAGGUUUUCGUAAUCUCGUCUGUUAAAGCCAUUCCUUCUAACUUUUCAAUUAAAAAUACAGAAACUUAAAAGUUGGAAUACCUAACCUUUAUGGCUUGUUUAAAGUCAACUUUCCACACCAAUAAAUUAAGCUCCCAUUUAUUUUCGAUUCUUUCUUCAUUAAAAUAAAAAAUAUUAUCAUUAACUAUUACAUCAAAUCAUUAUAUUUGAAUUUUUAUCUUUUGUGUGGAACUCAUAACAACUAUAUUUUUCAUUCUCAUUCUUCUAUAAAUGAGAAACAAACGGGGCGUGCAUAUUUAGUUCUAAUUUUUCAUUCAAAAAAAUAAUUUUUUGAUCGUUACAUUCCUAAAUCAGCUAUCAUUUUUGACUUCUUGUCUCACAGGUGAAACUCACAUUUCUCUUUAACGGUCAAAAAAUCAAUUUUCAUAAUUACUACCGAACAAGCCCUAAAAUUAAAAUUAUACAUUACAUGAGUUCAUCCGAUGCAAAUGAUAUGUUACAAAGAAAAAUCAAAAUUUGUCUCGGUAUCAGUUUAAAUUAAAAAAUCUUCACAAAAUUCUGAGUAGCUUAUGUACAACAAUCAAUUCAUAGGAUGUCAAAACUAUUUUUAACCAUAUAUUCACUAAAAAAGUAUUAUUAAAAAAUCCUUUUUUUUUAAAUAAAAAAUGUAGCUCAAACAAAAACGCAUUCUAAUUCAUCAUAGACGGGAGUUUGGACAAUAUUCAACGCACAACGAAUAACGUAGUAAACAAUUUUCUCAUGUUUUGAAUUUUGCCCCCUCUUUCGUGUCUAAAUUUUCUCGUCUUCGCCUUUCCUGAAUUUGAGACUACACUUUUGUGCUGGAUUUACAGAAAGUUAUAUAUGUUUUCAAUAUUCUGAAGCCGUUUCUUUUGAAUUUUGAGGUUGUCCUAUCAUGAGAUUGUGUGGUCUUCACCGUAAGCGCCACUCCCCCCACCCCUCACCCUUCUCAAUUUCUAUUUACAGAAAAUAGAAGCUUCAUUCUGCAUUUUAUUGUUGAAUGAUUCACAAAACUAAUAUAGCAACUUUCAAAAAUGAGUACAAUCAUGUUUAAAUUUUCAAUAUAAUUGUAAAAUUAAUGUCAAAACCGUCUAUAAAUUCCUUUAAAUUAUCAUGUGAUCUUCAAAGGUCUAAACAUAUAAAACUAUAUUUUGUUUCUCUCAUUUAGAUAAUGCCCAAAAAAUUGGAAUGGAAAUUGAAUUUAACUGUUCUUGGAUCUGUAACUGUAAUGAAACUCGACUAUCGACUUCUCUCUUUCUCUCUCUCUCUUUUUUUUUUCUUUUAUAAAUGUUGGAGCCCACUUUUUAUUGUAUGGCUAAUGAAAAACUAACUAUGUCAUCUCUCUUCGAGUAACGUUAUUCAUCAUUUUACUAGCAAUUUAGGUGACAAUAAAUCUCUAAUUCGUUGAUGCAUUGAACGCUGAAUUAGAAAUCUCAUUGUUAUCUAAAAUGUUGCAUAAUGAAUAAUAGAUAAAUAAGUGCUAUCUAAAUUGGUGGCGUUCCUAGCAAAUAAUAAAUUUUUAUUCUUUUCUGUAAUACAGACAUGUAACAGCGGGUAAAGAGUGAAAAAUGGGAAAUGAUUGGUUUUUCUUUGUAUAUUACUUUGAGAAAGAGUCAAAUUUCAGCUUAGAAGAGGGGCUGUAAGUGGGGGAGAAAAUGGACAUAGGAAUUUCUUAAAGAGAUGCACUGUACAAAACAAAAUUUCACAGAAAUUGUACAAACAAUUCACGAUAAGGGGUGGGUAAAUUUUAUGACAAAUUUUUAUCAAAACGUGGGAGCCACUACAUGUGAGGUUUGGGGAGCAUUUUGUGAGAAUUUAUUCCGUACAAAUAGCUUUCUACAAUUUUUUAAUAUUUUCAAGAAAGUGACUAAUAUCACCAAAUAUUCUUUGGACUUUUUGUCAACCGUACUUUUUUUUUCUCAUAUUUAUUUUUAAAUUUGGAUAGCUUGCACAGCACAAUGUGAUUUAGGCAAAAGUUCAAUUAAGCAGCGUGGGUUAUUUGAAAGUUGUUAAAAAUUGUGGGUCCAGGCAAUUAAAAUUAAUUGUUGAUUUUAAAUUUAAUCUUUUAAUUUUGAAUUAUUUGAAGAACCACUUAAUCUCAUAAUUAUUUUUUGGGGACAGUACAUUCUUGUAUAGUCCCACCUAAGAAUAUGAUAGGUCCCAAAAAUAAACUUGAUCUAUAAAUCACUUGUUUCAUCCAACAAAUUUUUAAAUUUUUAUAGUUUAUUUAGCCACUGUUUGAUUUUUAGUAGAUUUUUAACAGAACUGAUGAAAUAUGCGUUGAAACAUUGUAAAUUUCAUGAAAUAUGUGAUUAAAAAUAUAUUUGAUGAAAAAAAAUAAUUUUUAGAAAAUGAGAAUCAAACAAGAACUUAGUAAAGGUUACAGUGGACCGAGCUAAGUCGUCCACGAGCGAAUCAUUUUUCUAAAAAAUAAAAUGAGUCUAAAAAUGAGUCAGCUAGUGUCCACUAUCGAUUUGAUCUGUUUGUCACCCCUAAUUUGGGGGUAAAAUAAGACGGGAUUAAUGAAAAAUUGCCAUAAAAUUGGUCGGUGCUAGUAUUACCAUUGCAAUAAAAGUAUCAAACACGGAAUUCAAAAUGGGAAUAGAAUAACAUGCAAUUUUACUGUUGGAACCAACUUUUUGACCGUACAUAUUUGAAUCUACAAUAAUAUUUCACUGGGUAGACCAUAGAAUUUGUAAAGCUACCAAAUCUCCACAGAGAAAGGCCAUGGUUUUCAUUUCAUUUUACAUGCAUUUGUCAAGCUCAAAUUGUUCGUGUUUCAAAUGGAUCGUAAUCUUCAUGUUCUUGUACAUGUUCGCAUUAUCUCAAGCUGAUCCAAGGAUUUCCGAAGCUGGGCUUUUCUGUGGCAAAUCAAGGCCGCCUCCAAAUGCCAGUUACAUCCCACUGUUUGUUAAAGAAAUGAGAUUUCUUUCUCAACUCGUGACAUCCCAGAAUUGGGGUAGUUCUGCAAUGAAUAAUAGUGCUAUUUCGAUUUAUAGUUUAGCCCAUUGCUAUAGAGAUUUAUCACACGAUGAUUGUCUACAGUGCUACGCCGCAAGUCGAACCCUCCUCCCCCGCUGCCUUCCCGCCGUGAGUGGCCGUAUAUUUCUCGAUGGGUGCUUUUUGCGGUACGAUAAUUACAGUUUUUUAGGAGAAACAGUAGACCCAAAUUGGGAUAAACGGAAUUGUAACAGUUCAAUUGAUGAUAAUAUAAAUCAGAUUCAGUUCACGCGAUCGGAAUUUAAUAAAACUGUUGAGGAUCUGAUUCAUAAUGUUACAACAAGUGCAGCAUUGAACGAUGGUUACGCGGUGGCCGGCUUGAAGGGUGUUUAUGGUUUGGCUGAUUGUUGGAAAACUUUGAGCACAAAUGGUUGCAGAGAGUGUUUGACGGCGGCGGGUAGGGAGGUGAUGGAGUGUUUGCCCAGCCGGGAAGGCAGAGCAAUGAACGCUGGUUGUUAUUUGAGAUAUUCUACUAAGAAAUUCUACUCUAAUCAUUCUGAUACAACAAAUCAGAGUUCCGGUAAGUUUGGUUUAUUCUAUAAUUUUUUAUAGGUGAUUAAAAUUCUCGUUUGAUCGAAUUCGAGUCGAGAUUUAAAUUACAUAAUUGUUUUUCAUUUUUACUUCUUUUCUGGUUAAGUAUAUAUCUCUCUCAUACUUUUUGAGUAUGUGAACUUGAAAGAGCCAAGUCUGUGACAACAUUUGAGUGAUCCGUGGUCAGAUUUCUCAAUUUUAAGGCUAUUUUGCAGAAAUGUUGAAGACGGGGACAGUUUUGGCAAUUGUUUUGUCGGUAUCGGCCUUCUCUAUGCUCUCUGUAUUUUGCGGUUAUGCAGUCUACAGAAGAUGGAAUAAACGAAAUCAAGGUAUAAUAUCCAUAAUAUUAUAGUUUUCAGAAUCGAUUCAGUUUCAAAUGGGAAUGGUUCUAAUUAUGUUUAAUGCGGGUUUUGUGCAGCAAGAAAAAAUCUUGGCCUAAUUUCAUGUUCUUACAACAAGUCGAAUUUGAAUUUCAAAUACGAAACUCUCGAGAAAGCAACAAACUAUUUUGAUCCUUCUAGAAAAGUAGGACAAGGAGGAGCCGGAGCUGUGUAUCGAGGAACCCUAACAAAUGGAAAGACUGUGGCCGUGAAAAGAUUGUUUUUCAGCACUAGACAAUGGGUUGAUGAGUUCUUCAAUGAGGUUAAUCUCAUCAGUGGAAUUCAACAUAAGAAUCUUGUGAAGCUUUUGGGUUGUAGUAUUGAAGGCCCCGAGAGCUUGCUCGUUUAUGAAUUUGUACCUAACAAGAGCCUUGAACAAUACCUCUUUGGUAACUGUUUAUUUCUUUUUUUACUUCAUUUAAGGUACUCUCGGAUUUGUUUUUCGUGUCUUCUUGAUAUUUUUCCAUCAUUGUUUCCGUUCAGAUGACAAGAAGGUUAAGAUUUUAAGUUGGAAGGAACGCUACGAUAUUAUAGUCGGAACAGCAGAAGGUAUUGCUUUUCUCCAUGGAGGUUCAGAAUAUAGAAUAAUUCACCGGGACAUUAAGACUAGCAAUGUUCUUCUUGAUGAGAAUCUUAAUCCCAAAAUUGCGGAUUUUGGACUAGCUCGAAGUUUUGCCGUUGAUAGAUCUCAUCUUAGCACAGGAAUUGCAGGCACAUUGUAAGAAAAAUUAUUAUGGCUUUCCUUUGAGAUAACCAUCCAUUUUUUGGCAUAUUUGAUAAGAUGGAUUAGACAAUACUAGAUAGCAUUAAGAAAGAAAAAGAAUCUUCAUUAUAUUCUCGAGUUCGGUCCAACAUGACAUACCAAACAUGUUCAUAAAGAUUUGCCAGUUUCAAAUUUAAUGUAUGAUUUCUCAUGAUACAGAGGGUAUAUGGCUCCCGAAUACCUAGUAAAAGGACAACUCACGGAGAAGGCUGAUGUUUACAGUUUCGGCGUGUUGGUUCUUGAAAUGGUGUGCAAUAGAAAAAGUAAUGCUUUUGUCGAUGACUCGGGUUCUCUCCUUCAAUCGGUAUUUUCCAAAUUUUGUCAUUACUGCAUUAAUUUUUUUAGUAUAAUACUUUUAUUCAGUUUAUUCGUUGGUCCAUAUUUGUCAAUGUGGUAUUUUUGCAUAUAGGUUUGGAAACUGUACAAGACAAAUAGAUUGACAGAAUCCGUCGAUCCUUCUUUAGAAGGCGAUUUUCCAGAAUGUGAAGCAUGGAGAGUGCUAAAAAUGGGGCUUUUGUGCACACAGGCUUCAGUUUCUUUAAGACCGUCCAUGUCUGAGGUUGUCCAAAUGCUUACUGAUUUCGACUGUCAAAUUCCCGAACCGAAUCAACCACCAUUUUUGAAAGCCAGCCUGCUUUCUGCAACCACCACUCAGUCAUCCUACAGCAUAAACGGUUUGGCAUCAAAUGCACAGACAAGAUUUGACGCAUUUUACACCUCCACAGAAACCUCUACUCAGAGUUCAGAUGCACAUCCCAGAAGUAAAGAACAGAGUAAAAUAUAGGAACCCGAGUUUUUUAUAUCAAGUGAAACACCAGCACAGCACAAAAAUCGAACAUACACAUCCGACGAAUGCUGCCUAGACAGCCACG